GGUUUGGAGAGACUGCGGUCUCUCCAAGCGGUAGGGGAGCGUUCCACCCUAGGAUGAAGGCGUACCGUAAGGAGCGCUGGACGAAGUGGAAGCGAUGAUGCUGGAAUAAGUAGCGAUAAGAUGAGUGAGAAUCUCAUCCGCCGAAAACCUAAGGUUUCCUGGGGAAGGCAAUUCCGCCCAGGGUUAGUCGGCCCCUAAGGCGAGGCCGAAAGGCGUAGUCGAUGGACAGCAGGUUAAUAUUCCUGCACCGCUCAUGAUGGGUUGAUGAUGGGGUGACGGAGGCUCGAUUGCCUACGGGCGACUGAUUGUGCCCGGUGGCUGGGGGAGGACCGCCGCAGGUAAAUCCGCGGCAUACGGUUCGAACUCGGCGACGAAUUCCUUUUUGAGAAGAAGUGGCUUGAAGGCUUCCCAAGAAAAACCUCGGUUCGUACUUUCAUGAGCGACCGUACUAAAACUGACACAGGUAGGUGGGGUGAGUAUCCUAAGGCGCUCGGGGGAACUGUGGUAAAGGAACUCGGCAAAAUGGCCCCGUAACUUCGGGAUAAGGGGCGCCCCUUGGAGAAGGCUUCGCAAGAAGAACCGGGGGGCUGCAGGAAUCGGUUGUUACGACUGUUUACUAAAAACACAGGUCUCUGCCAAGUCCACAAAGACGACGUAUAGAGACUGACGCUUGCUCGGUGCCGGAAGGUCAAGGUGAGGGGUCAGCCCGCAAGGGCGAAGCUCCGAGCCGAAGCCCCGGUUAACGGCGGCCGUAACUAUGACGGUCCUAAGGUAGCGAAGUUCCUUGUCGGGUAAGUUCCGACGCGCAUGAAUAGCGUAACGUAGCAACGCUGUCUCUACCGCAGACCCGGCGAAAUUGUAGUAGCGGUGAAGAUGCCGCUUACCCGCAGUUAGACGGAAAGGCCCCGUGAACCUUCACUGUAGCCUAUUAUUGAGUUUGGAUGUGGCAUGUGUAGGAUAGGUGGGAGGCAUUGAAGCUGGGACGCCAGUCUCAGCAGAGCCGCCGGUGAAAUACCACCCUUGUUGCAUCUAAAUUCUAACUCGAUUCCUUGAACCAGGGUCCAGGACAGUGAUAGGUGGGCAGUUUGGCUGGGGCGGCUUCCUCCUAAAGAGUAACGGAGGAGCCCAAAGGCACCUUCAGCGCGGUUGGCAAUCGCGCGGAGAGCGUAAGGGUAUAAGGGUGCCUGACUGUGAGACCAAUAAGUCGAGCAGAGGUGAAAGCCGGGCCUAAUGAUCCGGCGUUACCGGGUGGAAGGGACGUCGCUCAUCAGAUAAAAGGUACUCCGGGGAUAACAGGCUGAUCUCUCCCAAGAGUCCAUAUCGACGGGGAGGUUUGGCACCUCGAUGUCGGCUCAUCACAUCCUGGGGCUGUAGGAGGUCCCAAGGGUUCGGCUGUUCGCCGAUUAAAGUGGUACGCGAGCUGGGUUUAGACCGGCGUGAGCCAGGUCGGUCCCUAUCUACUGUGGGUGCAGGAGACUUGCGGGGAGCUGUCCCUAGUACGAGAGGAUCGGGAUGGACGGACCUCUGGUGUACCUGUUGUCUCGUCAGAGGCACCGCAGGGUAGCUAUGUCCGGAAGGGAUAAGCGCUGAAAGCAUAUAAGUGCGAAGCCCCCCCCAAAACGAGGUCUCCCUGAAGGCACCUCGAAGACGACGAGGUUGAUAGGCCGGAGGUGUAAGCACGGCAACGUGUUCAGCCGACCGGUACUAAUCUGCCGUUCGGCUUGACCGU
rnacentral:rRNA from 1 species